UCUAGCAAUAUAUUUGCAGGUUUUAGGUCUAAGUGAAGGAUAUCGAUCUCUGUUAAUAUAUUGUAAACCUUCACAAAUUCCCUUGAUUAUUUCAUAGUGCGCUAUUUUAAAAGAAAUGAUUUGGCAUUGGACAAACCAAGUUGUCCAACAUGCAUAUUCAUGACUUGAAAAAGUAAAAAAAAAUACAGUCUGGAUAUUGUGUUUGACUUAGAAAGAUGGAAAAGCUAAACAAAAAGUUGUGAAGGCAGAUGAUAAAAGUGCUAUUGAAUGAUCAAGGAAUUUGUGAGGUUUACAUUAUCUUCGCAAGAGUUGUAUUGUUCACUUAGACCUAGACAUGCAAGUAUAUUUCUAGG
rnacentral:pre_miRNA from 1 species